AUACGUAGGGGGCAAGCGUUAUCCGGAAUCAUUGGGCGUAAAGAGUACGUAGGCGGUUUUCUAAGCGGGAGGUUUAAGGCUACGGCUUAAACGUAGUUCGCCUCUCGAACUGGAGGACUUGAGUGCAGGAGGGGAAAGGGGAAUUCCUAGUGGAGCGGGUAAAAGCGUAGAUAUUAGGAGGAACACCAGUGGCGAAGGCGGCUUUCUGGACUGUAACUGACGCUGAGGUACGAAAGUGUGGGUAGCAAACAGGAUUAGAUACCCUGGUAGUCCACACCGUAAACGAUGAGCACUAGGUGUCGGGUACGCAAGUAUUCGGUGCCGCAGUUAACGCAUUAAGUGCUCCGCCUGGGGAGUACGUACGCAAGUAUGAAACUCAAAGGAAUUGACGGGG
rnacentral:rRNA from 1 species